CAUAUCUUCCCUCUUUAAGAUCCUUCUGGGCCCCUGUUUCCUUCAGACCCCUUAGCCUGGUACCUAAGACAUUGCCAGCCUCUCCACUGGAACCUUCCCAUGUAUGAUCAUCACGAACUACUUAUUCGAAAUUCCCAGAAAGAGUCAUGCUUUCUCAUGUCCUCGUGACUGUGCAUAUGAUGCUUUCCUACCUGGCAUGCCUUUCCCAGAACUCUUAGGAAACACCUCCUGACAAGUUGAGGCUUAUUUAGCCUCACCUCCUCCAGGAAGCCUUCCAUACUGGCCCUUCCCAAGGCUGAGUUAAGGGUUUCUCCUCUACACCCCCUACGUCCCGCCAAUAACUCCCAGAGUUCCCCUCUGGCUCAGCACUUAUUUGUGUCUACAUGACUAGGCUCAGAUCCCUUUGGAGGUGGGGACCACAUCUAAUUCAUUUCUUUCUUUCUUUCUUUCUUUUUUUUUUUUUUUUUUCUUUUUACAGCCACACCUGCAGCAUAUAGAAGUUUCCAGGCUAUGGGUUGAAUCGGAGCUACAGCUGAGGCCUACACCACAGCCAUGGCCACACUGGAUCCAAAAUGCAUCUGCAACCUACACCACAGCUUGUGGCAAUGCUGGAUCAUUAACCUACUGUGCGAGGCCAGGGAUUAACCCACUGAGUGAGACCACGUCCUCACAGAGACUACAUCAGGUUCUUAAGCUGCCGAGCCACAGCAGGAACUCCCUGAGUUACCAGCCUCUGGCACUGGACUUCUUUGUGGCCUAAGAGGCAUACAAUAUGUAUUUUCUGGGUAAAAUCUAUACAUGAAUGACAACUGGGCCCAGGUACACUGAACGCUGGUCACCUGUCUGGCUUCAGGGGCUCCACUGAAACACAGCUGGGCAUAGCAACCUCUGCAGCGGGUAGAGAACAGGUGUCUGAAUUAGAGCGAGAGUACUGAAGGCUCAGGAAGAAAGCAAGUCAGACUGAAGGACUGAUCACCUAUUGUGCUUGAAGCUUCCAGAAAUACCUACAUUCCCAGAUGGGUGAAUGUGCUUAGAAUAUGAAGUCUAUAGCAUUAAACACUUAACUUCAGCAAAAGGAAUAAGUUGUACAAAAGCAGAAAUGCAAUAAUAAUAUUAUAUGGUUUGGCUAUGAUCUAUGUGGUCACAAGACUAAAUGCUAAAUCUAACCAGAAAUCAUGUUGUAACUAGAUCGGGAAGUUGGGAUAAGAUGAAGUGGCUUUGUAGGGAAGAGAGUUGAAUCCUUCUUGUCCAUCAUAAGCCAGUCAAUAGGACAUAUCUCAAAACACAGUAUUUAGAAACAUGGAGGAGUUCCCGCUGUGGCACAGCAAGACUGGCAAGGUCUCUGCAGUGCUAGGUCACAGGUUUGACUCCUAGCCUGGCAUAGUAGUUUGAAGGAUCCUGCAUAUAUGGUGGUCUAGGUCACAGCUGCCGGCUCGGAUCUACUCUUUGGCCUGGGAACUCUAUAGGGUGUGGGGCAGCCAAAAAAAAAAAAAAAAGAAAGAAAGAAAGAAAUAUGGAAGAAAUACUUGUUGGUGGCUGCCUCUGGGCAGUGAGAUUUGGGGAUAGAGGAGGAUGAGGCUGGAGAACAGGCCGUAUAGAACUAUCUGACUUUUUGUACAUGAUGUUGGUGAAACACGUGUAUCGUUUUUAAAAUAUCGCUUGUGGUUUGAAGGCAGGAACCUGUCGUGAGGCAAGCAUCUCUGUCCAAUCAGCCUGACUAAUCUCCUGAAACACCACUUGCACAGUCCGUGCCAGCCCUCCCAGCCCCGGAACCAGACUGGGCUGGGCCGCCUCCCCUGCCCUCGGUGACCCGACCCUGCCUCCCAUGCACAACGCCCUUUGCUCCCACUGACCAGCCUCCUCCCAUUUCUCCUGCAGACACAGCUUCUCCCGCCUUGGCUUGGCUCAGGCCGUGCCCUCUGCCUCCUGGUUAAUAGCUUUCCACUCUUUGGCCUUCCCAGCUCUCCCCUCUGACACUCAGGCCAGCUGGGACAAGCACGUGCUUUUGCCAGCCGGCACGGCAGAUGUCAGAGCGAUGCCAUCUCUGCUGCCUAGGUCUGAAGAAGAAGGCUUGAGGUACCCACACCAGGCCCAUCCCUAUUAUCCCAGCCAAGGACCUCUCUGAGUCUGUUUCCUCACCCUGAAAAAUCAGGAUCUUCAGGUCCACUUGCCAGGAUGUUCUGAGGGUGGGCGGACGUGAUGUCUGUGGGAGGGCUCAGGCAGACCCCCCCCCACACACACACUUUCCAUCCCCCGCUUUCAGACACGUCCUGUCCAAUAGUAGCGGCAGCUGCAGUAGGAGCUCAUUAUUGGAGUGUUUACCUGUCAGCACUGCCCUAAAUCAUGCAUCCUCUCAUUUAAGCCCAACAGUGGGUAACAGGACCCCCAUUUCACAGGUGAGGAAAUGGGGGCUCAUCCAGGGUAACUUGCAGGUGAAUCUACCUGUCACCCCACACAUUAGACCACAGGGAGCUCAAAGGCAAGGAGAAUCGUCCACUCGUACACAUAGGGGGGUGUCGAGUAGCCAAAGGUCCAUCAACAGAAGAAUGGAUAAACAAGAUGUGGUACCUACACCCAAAGCUGCAUUAUUCAGCCUUAAAAAGCUAAGAACUUCUGACACAUGCGGCAACACAGAUGAACCUUGAAAGCAUGAUGCGAAGUGAAAUAAGCCAGUCACAAAAAGACAAACAUUAUACGAUGCCACUGAUGGAGGGGUCCUAGAGCAGUCAAGUUCAUAGACACAGAGCGUAGAAUGUGGUUCUCAGGGACUAGGGUGGGAGGAUGAAGAGUCAGCGUUUAACGGUACAGAGUUUCAUUUUGGGAAAAUGGAAAGUUCCAGAGAUGGAUCAUGGUGAUGGCUGCACAAAAACGUGAAUAUGUUUAAUGCCGCGCACGAACUAUACACUUAAAAAUGGUUAAAAUGUUAAAUUUUAUGUUAUAUAUUUUACCAUAAUGAAUUUUUUUUUAAUAUAGUUAGAAGCAAAAAGUAGAAUAGGACCUAAGGGAGGAGGGAAGGAUGAAUUAUUUUUCAUGCUUACAGAAGUUUUGUUGGAGGUGACAAAAGUUUUGGUUAUAGAUAGCAGUGAUGAUUAUACCACAUUGAGAAUGCAUUUAAUGCCACUGCAUCGGACACUUAUGAAUGGUUUCAGUGAUACAUAUUAUUUUAUGAAUAUUUGACCACGCACACACUCAAGGAAGGGAGGUCCUGUUCUUUUUCUAUCUCUCUGGACCCAGAGGCUCAAGCAGGACCUGGCACACAGUUGGCAUUCAAGUGCGUUUGUCCAGCAAACGCUGUGCAUAAUACAUUUGGAAAAGAAUAUUUUUUUUUUCUGUUUUAGGCCACACUCAUGGCAUAUGGAGGUUCCCAGGCUAGGGGGCCAAUCAGAGCUGUAACUGCCGGCCUACACCACAGCCGCAGCAACACGGGAUACAAGCUGUAUCUGUGACCUACCCCACAGCUCAUGGCAACGCCCCAUCCUUAACCCACUGAGCGAGGCCAGGGAUCGAAGCCGUGUCCUCGUGGAUACUAGUCGGGUUCGUUAACUGCCGAGCCAUGAUAGGAACUCCAAGAAUAUUUUUUUAAAAAAAGAGUGUACACAAUUUUUUAAAGAGUUUGGAUUUGAAUAAACUGCAUUUGGAAGGAAGCAGAAGCCUUCAGCCUGGGCAAGAGGAACAGGAUCAGGGCUCUGCCUGAAGUCAGGUCUGUGGCCACUUCCAGCUUCCCUGUGGUCGAAAGUUCCACGGAUGUGUGGAAUCCCCCAAGACAGAGACAGAAACUAACAACAUAAUUAGAAAGCUGCUAUUAAUUGCUAGGCAUUUUACACUCAUAUAAUAAGAGCUAGCAAUUAUUGAGUACUUAUUCUGUGCUAGAUGCAAUUCUAAAAGUUUUCACGCCUAACAAUCCCUCUGAGGUGCCUACAAUUAUAAUCCCCAUUUUGUGAUGGAGGAAACGGGAACACAGAGAGAUUAAAUAACUUGUUAAAGGUCACACAGCCAAAUCACCAUGAAACCCAGACUUGCCUCCAGGCGGUCUGGUUUGCUUAAAGACCAGGGUUUGUGCUUCUGCUUAAAGAAAGACCAGGGUUCAUGCUUCUUCAUGAUGCCUGGCAUUUCUGCGUUUCUCCAAGUCCCGGCCAGCGGGGAAGGCACGGAGAGGGCCUUCAAAGGGAGAGGGAAAGUGAGGAGCAGGACUUUGGAGGCAGGAAUAUGGGCUCUACUUUGGGCAGCAACCAGCCUCGGGCAUCACCCCGACUGGGUCCAAGUCCAGCUUUUGUUGAUUGCCUGGCGCUGGACAAGCUACUUCACCUCUCUAGUCCUGUGCCCUCCUCUGUAAUUUGGCUAUAGCAACAGUAUCUGUCUCAUGGGGUUUUGUGGGGGUUACAUAAAUUAGUAAGCAUGCACCUCAGUGAGUCUGCUGCUGGGUGGGGAUGGGGGAGGUGGGAGUUGGAACGGUGCUCUGGAUUGACCGACGACUUCCUGGAAUAAUCUUGGGCAAUUUCCCUUCCUCUCUGAGCCCCACUGAUCUCAGUGAUGAAACAUAAUUACUAAAACCAACCCCACAGGUUUGUUGUGAGGAUUAAACACACUCUGCAUUUUGUAUGUGUAUCUAUUUAUAGCUCUAAUCCAUUCUCCAAAAAGUAUUUUAGGCAGCUAACAAUAAUACUCCUGUAUUUAACUGGAAAAUGAAGAACUGGAAC
rnacentral:lncRNA from 1 species